GUUAGGAAUAUUGGACAAUGGGCGAAAGCCUGAUCCAGCCAUGCCGCGUGAACGAUGAAGGCCUUCGGGUUGUAAAGUUCUUUAGCCGAUGAUUAUAAUGACUGUAGUCGGAAAAUAAGCCCCGGCUAACUUCGUGCCAGCAGCCGCGGUAAUACGACGGGGGCGAGCGUUAUUCGGAAUCACUGGGCGUAAAGCGUGCGUAGGCGGUUUUGUAAGUUAGGAGUGAAAGCCCAGGGCUCAAACUUGGAAUUGCUCUUAAAACUGCAAGGCUCGAAUAUCGGAGAGGAUAGCGGAAUUUCCAGUGUAGCAGUGAAAUGCGUAGAUAUUGGAAGGAACACCAGUGGCGUAAGCGGCUAUCUGGACGAGUAUUGACGCUGAGGCACGAAAGCGUGGGGAUCAAACAGGAUUAGAAACCCUUGUAGUCC
rnacentral:rRNA from 1 species